rnacentral:rRNA from 1 species
GAUGAACGCUGGCGGCAGGCUUAACACAUGCAAGUCGAGCGAGCGGCGGACGGGUGAGUAAUGUCCGGGAAACUGCCUGAUGGAGGGGGAUAACUACUGGAAACGGUAGCUAAUACCGCAUACCAUCAGAUGUGCCCAGAUGGGAUUAGCUAGUAGGUGGGGUAAUGGCUCACCAAGGCAACGAUGCAUAGCCGACCUGAGAGGGUGAUCGGCCACACUGGAACUGAGACGCGGUCCAGACUCCUACGGGAGGCAGCAGUGGGGAAUAUUGCACAAUGGGCGCAAGCCUGAUGCAGCCAUGCCGCGUGUGUGAAGAAGGCCUUCGGGUUGUAAAGCACUUUCAGCGAGGAGGCGUUACUCGCAGAAGAAGCACCGGCUAACUCCGUGCCAGCAGCCGCGGUAAUUC